rnacentral:rRNA from 1 species
GACGAACGCUGGCGGCGUGCUUAACACAUGCAAGUCGAACGGAAAGGCCCCUUCGGGGGUACUCGAGUGGCGAACGGGUGAGUAACACGUGAGUAACCUGCCCUUGACUUCGGGAUAACUUCAGGAAACUGGGGCUAAUACCGGAUAGGAAUCCUUGCUGCAUGGUGGGGGUUGGAAAGCUUCGGCGGUUUUGGAUGGACUCGCGGCUUAUCAGCUUGUUGGUGGGGUAGUGGCUUACCAAGGCUUUGACGGGUAGCCGGCCUGAGAGGGCGACCGGCCACAUUGGGACUGAGAUACGGCCCAGACUCCUACGGGAGGCAGCAGUGGGGAAUAUUGCAAAAUGGGCGGAAGCCUGAUGCAGCAACGCCGCGUGCGGGAUGACGGCCUUAGGGUUGUAAACCGCUUUCAGCAGGGGCGAAGCUUGUGGUGACGGUACCUGCAGAAGAAGCACCGGCUAACUACGUG